rnacentral:rRNA from 1 species
UUAAGCGACUAAGCGUACACGGUGGAUGCCCUGGCAGUCAGAGGCGAUGAAGGGCGUGCUAAUCUGCGAUAAGCGCCGGUAAGGUGAUAUGAACCGUUAUAACCGGCGAUACCCGAAUGGGGAAACCCAGUGUGACUCGUCACACUAUCAUUAACUGAAUCCAUAGGUUAAUGAGGCGAACCGGGGGAACUGAAACAUCUAAGUACCCCGAGGAAAAGAAAUCAACCGAGAUUCCCCCAGUAGCGGCGAGCGAACGGGGAGGAGCCCAGAGCCUGAAUCAGCAUGUGUGUUAGUGGAAGCGUCUGGAAAGGCGCGCGAUACAGGGUGACAGCCCCGUACACAAAAGCGCAUGUGCUGUGAGCUCGAUGAGUAGGGCGGGACACGUGGUAUCCUGUCUGAAUAUGGGGGGACCAUCCUCCAAGGCUAAAUACUCCUGACUGACCGAUAGUGAACCAGUACCGUGAGGGAAAGGCGAAAAGAACCCCGGCGAGGGGAGUGAAAAAGAACCUGAAACCGUGUACGUACAAGCAGUGGGAGCACCUUCGGGUGUGACUGCGUACCUUUUGUAUAAUGGGUCAGCGACUUAUAUUCUGUAGCAAGGUUAACCGUAUAGGGGAGCCGGAGGGAAACCGAGUCUUAACCGGGCGUUAAGUUGCAGGGUAUAGACCCGAAACCCGGUGAUCUAGCCAUGGGCAGGUUGAAGGUUGGGUAACACUAACUGGAGGACCGAACCGACUAAUGUUGAAAAAUUAGCGGAUGACCUGUGGCUGGGGGUGAAAGGCCAAUCAAACCGGGAGAUAGCUGGUUCUCCCCGAAAGCUAUUUAGGUAGCGCCUCGUGAAUUCAUCUCCGGGGGUAGAGCACUGUUUCGGCUAGGGGGCCAUCCCGGCUUACCAACCCGAUGCAAACUGCGAAUACCGGAGAAUGUUAUCACGGGAGACACACGGCGGGUGCUAACGUCCGUCGUGAAGAGGGAAACAACCCAGACCGCCAGCUAAGGUCCCAAAGUCAUGGUUAAGUGGGAAACGAUGUGGGAAGGCCCAGACAGCCAGGAUGUUGGCUUAGAAGCAGCCAUCAUUUAAAGAAAGCGUAAUAGCUCACUGGUCGAGUCGGCCUGCGCGGAAGAUGUAACGGGGCUAAACCAUGCACCGAAGCUGCGGCAGCGAACGUAUCACUUAAAGCGAUUCAGCGGGUUACGAUUGACGGAGCGAAGCGACGUCAAAGCGUAUACAAAGUCGAGUCGGUUUAAGGAUACGUUCGUUGGGUAGGGGAGCGUUCUGUAAGCCUGUGAAGGUGGCCUGUGAGGGUUGCUGGAGGUAUCAGAAGUGCGAAUGCUGACAUAAGUAACGAUAAAGCGGGUGAAAAGCCCGCUCGCCGGAAGACCAAGGGUUCCUGUCCAACGUUAAUCGGGGCAGGGUGAGUCGACCCCUAAGGCGAGGCCGAAAGGCGUAGUCGAUGGGAAACAGGUUAAUAUUCCUGUACUUGGUGUUACUGCGAAGGGGGGACGGAGAAGGCUAUGUUGGCCGGGCGACGGUUGUCCCGGUUUAAGCGUGUAGGUGUGUGUUCCAGGUAAAUCCGGUUCACUUAACACUGAGGCGUGACGACGAGGCACUACGGUGCUGAAGCAACAAAUGCCCUGCUUCCAGGAAAAGCCUCUAAGCAUCAGGUAACAUCAAAUCGUACCCCAAACCGACACAGGUGGUCAGGUAGAGAAUACCAAGGCGCUUGAGAGAACUCGGGUGAAGGAACUAGGCAAAAUGGUGCCGUAACUUCGGGAGAAGGCACGCUGACACGUAGGUGAAGUGAUUUACUCAUGGAGCUGAAGUCAGUCGAAGAUACCAGCUGGCUGCAACUGUUUAUUAAAAACACAGCACUGUGCAAACACGAAAGUGGACGUAUACGGUGUGACGCCUGCCCGGUGCCGGAAGGUUAAUUGAUGGGGUCAGCGCAAGCGAAGCUCCUGAUCGAAGCCCCGGUAAACGGCGGCCGUAACUAUAACGGUCCUAAGGUAGCGAAAUUCCUUGUCGGGUAAGUUCCGACCUGCACGAAUGGCGUAAUGAUGGCCAGGCUGUCUCCACCCGAGACUCAGUGAAAUUGAACUCGCUGUGAAGAUGCAGUGUACCCGCGGCAAGACGGAAAGACCCCGUGAACCUUUACUAUAGCUUGACACUGAACAUUGAGCCUUGAUGUGUAGGAUAGGUGGGAGGCUUUGAAGUGUGGACGCCAGUCUGCAUGGAGCCGACCUUGAAAUACCACCCUUUAAUGUUUGAUGUUCUAACGUGGACCCGUAAUCCGGGUUGCGGACAGUGUCUGGUGGGUAGUUUGACUGGGGCGGUCUCCUCCUAAAGAGUAACGGAGGAGCACGAAGGUUGGCUAAUCCUGGUCGGACAUCAGGAGGUUAGUGCAAUGGCAUAAGCCAGCUUGACUGCGAGCGUGACGGCGCGAGCAGGUGCGAAAGCAGGUCAUAGUGAUCCGGUGGUUCUGAAUGGAAGGGCCAUCGCUCAACGGAUAAAAGGUACUCCGGGGAUAACAGGCUGAUACCGCCCAAGAGUUCAUAUCGACGGCGGUGUUUGGCACCUCGAUGUCGGCUCAUCACAUCCUGGGGCUGAAGUAGGUCCCAAGGGUAUGGCUGUUCGCCAUUUAAAGUGGUACGCGAGCUGGGUUUAGAACGUCGUGAGACAGUUCGGUCCCUAUCUGCCGUGGGCGCUGGAGAACUGAGGGGGGCUGCUCCUAGUACGAGAGGACCGGAGUGGACGCAUCACUGGUGUUCGGGUUGUCAUGCCAAUGGCACUGCCCGGUAGCUAAAUGCGGAAGAGAUAAGUGCUGAAAGCAUCUAAGCACGAAACUUGCCCCGAGAUGAGUUCUCCCUGAGACUUUAAGUCUCCUGAAGGAACGUUGAAGACGACGACGUUGAUAGGCCGGGUGUGUAAGCGCAGCGAUGCGUUGAGCUAACCGGUACUAAUGAACCGUGAGGCUUAACCUU